UGUGCCCUGGGAUAGAUAAGCGAUCUCUUCCAUUCCCUUUUCUAUCCAUGGCACUGGU
ensembl:miRNA mdo-mir-1545d-3 mdo-mir-1545d-3